GACGAACCGUGCGAACGUUAUUCGGAAUCACUGGGCUUAAAGCGCGUGUAGGCGGGGUGGCACGUCGGUCGCUGAAAGCCCCCGGCUCAACCGGGAAGGGCGCCGAUACGACCACCCUGGAGGGACGUAGGGGGACCUGGAACUUCCGGUGGAGCGGUGAAAUGCGUUGAGAUCCGGAAGAACACCGGUGGCGAAGGCGGCCUGCUGGGCAGUUUGCUGACACUGAGGCGCGACAGCGUGGGGAGCAACAGG
rnacentral:rRNA from 1 species